UUAAGGUCUAAUCUGCCCUAUGAGGAAUUAAAUGGCCGCGGUACUUUGACCGUGCAAAGGUAGCAUAAUAAUUAGUUUUUUAAUUGAAAGCUGGAAUGAAUGAUUGGACGAGAAAAUAACUGUUUCAAUUUAAUUUUUUUAGAAUUUUAUUUUUAAGUUAAAAAGCUUAGAUUCUAUUAAAAGACGAGAAGACCCUAUAGAGUUUUAUAUUUGAUAAAUUAUUAAUUUUUAAGUUUAUUUUUAUUGAUAUUUUAUUAUAUAUUUUAUUGGGGCGAUAGAGAAAUAUUAUUAACUUUUUUUAGUUUAAAUUCAUUAAUUUAUGAUUGAUUGAUCCAUUAUUUAUGAUUAUAAGAAUAAGUUACCUUAGGGAUAACAGCGUAAUUUUUCUUUAGAGUUCUUAUCGAAAGAAGGGAUUGCGACCUCGAUGUUGGAUUAAAGUUAAUAUUUGGUGUAGAAGCUAGAUAAUUAGGUCUGUUCGACCUUUGAAACUUUACA
rnacentral:rRNA from 1 species